UCUUUCUCAUGGAGGCCGAAAUCAGCAUGGGGGAAGCCAUGGCUAGGGUUUUCAAGCUUUCCAAGCUCAAUAGUAAGUCCGUUCUAGCCCCGUUUUUCAAGUUCUUUAUGUUUUUGGAAUCUCGGUAACUUGAUUAAGCUUAUUCUAGCAAUAAUUUAAGCUAGGGUUCAUAUUUGGAAAAAUACUCAUAAGUGAAAUGUGUUUAUUUUGAUGUUUUAUGGUAGAAUAUGAAGGCUGAAAUUAUGUUAAACAACUUUUGCUAAGCGAUUUUAAGCAAAAAUGAGUAAAACGGCUUAAUCGGUAAAAGUUGUUAUUGUUCAUAACUAUGUGUUAGAGUGAGAAUUUGAUGUUGACAUAGAAGGGAAAAAUGAUUAGAAUGUCAUAAAACAUAAGAAUAAGGGAUGAAGUUUAAUUCCCGAGCCUAGGGAAAAAGUGUAAAUAUGCAAAAGUUUAGGGGCAAAAUUGUAAUUGUUCCAAAGUUUAAGUUAAAUACUGUUUUGAAUAGUAAAUUAAUUAAAUAAGUAAAAUAUGAUGUUUUAUAUUCCCCAAAAACGAGAUUUGAACCUAGAAUGGGAGAAAAAUAAAAAAUCGGGAAAGUUGGUAAAAUAGCCGUUUUAGUAUCGAGGUAAGUUCAUAUGUAUAAUAAGAAUUAAUUUAUGCAUGUUUCAAUGUAAAAUUAAUAUAUUUACUAUGAUUGCCGAGGUGUUGAAAGUAAGUAUAAUUAUGAUGAUUUAAAUGUUCAAUAUUAAUUUGACAUGGAAAUGAGAAAGUAUGUAAGUUUGUAUUUAAAUAAUACAUUAUCUUUAUUACGUUUUUAUAUUCAGCAUAUUUUAUGUAUUGUAGCUGAUUUUUGAAUCAUAAUUGACUAUUGGAAGAAUGGAAUAAAGUAUUAGAAAGUGAGAUACUUCCCGUUUGAACCUUCGGAAUCGAAAGAUACAGAUGGUAUGUAGCUAGGUCACAUGUGUAAUACGGGAUGUAUACCAUGUGUUCAAGAGAGCUACGAGACAUUAUGAGGUAUCUAGGUCGCAUGGGUGAUACUAUGUGUACACCAUGUAGACAAGAGAGCUACGAGAUAGAUGUAGCUAGGUUGCAUGUGUGGUUCCAAGUGAAAGACACCAUGUAAACAAGAGAACUACAAGAUAAAGUGGCUAGGUCACAUGGGUGAUACUAUGUGUAUACCAUGUGUACAAGAGAGCCAAAUUAUGUGUACGAUCGAGUUAGGUCACUUGAGUGGUGCUAAGUGAAGGCCACCAUGUGUACAAGAGAGCUUCGAUUUUAAAGGUGGGCAGUGUGCGAUACCAUCGUGUAUCUGUUAUUAUUCCGAAGUGUUCAACUGGGAAAUUGAUUAAAUGAAAUUUUGUAUGACUUUGUGAAGAUAAGUGUAAGUAUAUACGUGUGUAACUUAUGAGUAAUAUGCUUGAUAUGUGAUUGGAAAUUGGAAAGAUUGUUAUGGGUAAGUGAUGAAUACAAUUGAAGUGUGAAAGAUCAGAAUUGACAAUAAAACUGUUCUGGAUAGUUGCAGUGACGAGAAUCUAAAAAUUUACCAAAAAUAGUAAAAAUUGAAUCAGAGACUGAAUAAGAUAUCAAAUUAAAUCUUAAUGAGUCUAUUUUCAUAUAACAGAAACAGAGCAAGCAAAGGAAUUCUAUAUUCUGAGAUAUUUAAGUUUCUAUGAGACUGGUUCAGAAUGACUAUGUGAUCCCCUAUUCUGACUUUGAAAAAUCAUUAAAAAUUGUAAAAAAAAUAAUUAUGGGAUAUAAUUUAUAUGUUUGAAAUCCUUAAUAAGUCUAGUUUCAAAUAAAAUAAACAAUAACAUCAUAUGAGUUCUGUACGAAGAGAAAAUUUAUUUGCAGUGAACUGUGGUCAGGGAAGUUAAGCAGUGAAACAGAGGUAACUUCAAUGAAUAAACUGUACUAAUUGGCUAGACCAAAAAUUCUGAAAAUUUUAUGGUAAGAAUAUACGUGAAUAUAGUUUCAAAGAAAAUUAACGGUUUGUAAUUUGGAGUUUUUUAGCUCCAAAAAUAAAUAAUUUAGCUGCUGGUACUCUGCUAGACAGCUUAUUUUGAACUUGUUUAUAAUUGUAAUAGUGAAAGUAUGUGUGUUUGUGAUGGUAAUGUUCCGGGAACAUAUUGUGACUUUGUUUAAUGUAUGAUAAUGUAUUUUUUUAUUAAUAUUUACAUAUUUACUUACUAAGCCAUAAUGCUUACUCCCUUCCUUUCCUUUUUCCUAUAGUAUCGCAGAUGUUAGCUCGAGUUGGAGGUCGCCGGAGGUUAAAUCGCAUUAUCAAACUAUUGAUCGAUAUAUAAAGGUUUUAAAGUAUUUUUAAGUCUUUGGUAUGUAUGGGGACUCGUUUAAUUAUUAUUAAGUUGCUAGGAGUUGGCCUAAAAUACUAACCUAUGUUAUUUGAAGGUCUCUAUUGUAUAAAGUCAUUUAAUGUAGAUAGUCUUGAAUAUGUUUGAAAAGUUUAAAAUUGAUGAAAUUUUAUGUCUCGGUUUUAAAUGAUUACAAGUACUCAAGUCCAG
rnacentral:lncRNA from 1 species